UCGUGCGAGAGCCACACCCAUUGGUCAACGCCCCGCACAAACCCUACCCUUUCCAGCGCUCCCAAAUGGAUGCAGUCGCCUCCCCUCUCCCUCCCUUCCUCCCCAAACGCGUCGGCCGCCUCCUCUCCACCUGCCAUACCACGUCCCUGCUGCCGCCAUGGCCUCUUCAGGAGGCACGCCCCUCCAUGGUGCGAAGCAGCAGACCAGGAUCUGGAUGAGGAAGAGGAGAUCCGGGCGCCCCAACGGUGGAUCGAUCGAUGCGAGGUAACGACGAGCUCCUCCGGACGUGGGGGAGCAGCGAGGCCGGAGAUCCAGUUGGCGCAUGCGGGUCGAAGCUGCAGCGCUCCGGUCCCCAAGCCGCCUCCAGGCUCGCUUCCUCCAUCCUCCCGCGUCGAUCGCACCCCUCCUCCCGCAUCUCACCCAUCUCGAUGGAUGGCGUGCGGGCACGGAGGCGAGGUUCUCCGGCGGCGGCGGGAACCUCCAGGCAGAGAGCGACCCCAUGGAUCCGUCCCUGUAGGAGAGAAGGAAGGAGAGGAGAUAGGCCAUGAAGAUGGGAUGAGUGCGCGACCCCAGGAUUUUGCGCUGCCGUCUUCUUUCGCCGGUCGGUGCCCUGGAAGAGCGACACCAGCCAGGCAUUGUAUGGGAUGGAUCUAUCAUGCUGGGAUUAGUUGUAGACUUCCUUGCUGAACCCUACAGGGAGCAAUGCAUCCCCAGUUUGCUUCCAGAGAAGGAAGGGGAAGAGUUACAAUUACAACAUGGGGCUUCAAGUGUCUAUUACUGUGGAUCACCAAUAUUUUGUUAUAUCCGUGCAUUUUAGUUACAACUAAGUGCCACACCGAUGAAUGUGAAUGUCUGUUCAGGGUUUUCUUGUUGCUGCUAUUCGUCGUGGAUAUUCAAGAGGCAACUUGGCACCUAAUGUCAGCAACAUGCUUAUCGGUGACGAGGGAAAUGAAAGAAGGCUGCAAUGGAAUUUGUACUAGAUCAGAUUUUGGCCAUAUAGUUACCGGUGACUGGAAGUCUAAAACUGAGGAUAGGGUAGAUUGUUUUGAUUCCGAUUACUUGGAGAUCUUGUGGCUUGUUGUCCCUGGAUCAGUCAGACCUACGGCAGCAUCAACUCGUUGAUCCUAGAGGCCAUGGUUCUCGAGGUGAGUUGAGUUGCUGCUUGGUUGGAGAUGUUGACGUCGUUCGAGACGCCCGCUGGAUUCACCCUUUUCAAGGUUCUGAAUAAGGGCAAGCUCGACAAGGUCGAGUGGUACAGGUAUGAUCUUCAUGGAGCUAGGCAUCACUGGAUUUGGUAAUACAUAAUCACUUAUUCAGAGAGCCCAAGGUGAGAAGGGACGAGCAUCUAGAACACCACCACCUACUAAUCAGUGAGCUACUAUCUGUCUUUGAAUGAGUUACUUAACAAGAGAAGGCAGGUAGCAAUAGAACACGUGCAAUCUCAAUGUUUACUAAUUAUCUAUUUCUGAAUUUAUUCGUUCCCAGCUGCUCUGGAUCUGGGUGUUUUGUUUGCUGCUUUGUAGGAGUUUCCUACCUUUCUUCUGCAAAUCUGGAAUGCCUUUAUGGCAUGAUCAUGUGAAAAAGUACCUUGAUGCAGUAAUGGAUUUGAUUUUCACUGGUUACUCUGUUUUCACGAAUUACUAUCCAACUGUAAGUCUGUUCUAUACCCUAAGGCCCAUGUAAAUCAGAUAGAAGAUUAAGCUAUUUAAUUUUAACUAAAAAGGAUAAUAUUCUUUCAGUCGCUUGAAUCUGUCCAGACCUGAAAAAUACUUAUACUUUGAAAGCUUGAUAUACGAGUAUGUAAUUUUAUAGGUAUGUAAAUAGCCGACAAUGUUAUUGUUCAAAUGUACUCGAGCCAGGUUGGUGCUUCAUUGCAACCAAAAGAAUUAGUAAUAUUGUUUUGCUGAAAAUAUGGUCGCACUUGUCGGUGUUGUAUAAUAGGAUUUUUAAUUAGUGGCAUAGGAAUUUUUUCCCUAAGAUCCACUAUGAAGUUGAUUGAAAGUCCAUUUUCCCUAAGAUCCACUAUGACAAUGAAAAAGAUUUCUGAAAACUGUGUCACCAUAAAUGUUCCAUCAUUGUCCAUAGCAGUCCCAUGUGGAAAAAAAUCCUAUACGACUGAGUCGUACGGACCCGAUCGUGAGACCCACUCCAGCACUCGCCAAUUGUCCGUCCGAAUCUUAAUGCAACAGGCGUCUCCUUCCCCGCUUCCCUGUUUCACUCCUUAUCUCCUCCAACGCACCCAAAAUCCAGCCGCUGGUCAUGCCAUUCUCGCCACCACCUGACAGCACGACGCACCCGCACCACUUUCCCCUGGGAGCCUUGCCGCCAAUGGUGCCGGGUGCGGUGGUCGCCCCCGCCUCGUUCCCCCUUCCCUGUUUGCAAAUCUAGAUUGAAACUCGAACCAUUUAUUCUGCUAGAUAUGCUUGUACUGAAAUUAUUAUCUUAUACAUUGACAGAGCAUGGAAGAACCAAAAGGUAGUUGAUCAGCAGGAUGGCAAGAGGAAGACAAGAACCAAAUUAAAGUUUGUUGCUGUGCAUGUCUGUAUCUAUCAAGAUUCAGUGCUAUGUAGAAAUGUCCUUGAGAUUUGUUUCACUCAACGAGACCAAACAAUCAGGAACACAAGUAGGAUAGUUGAUGCUUUUUUCAUUUUUCUUCUGAUGAAAAGGAAUCUUCAUCUGCCAAGAAUACGGCCUAUAAGCAUGUAUGCCUAAUUACCUAUAUGUUGAUUUAACAAGCUCACAUACAUGUCCAUUUCUGAAAAUAGUUUACCCAUCCUCAAACAUAUAACUUGUGUGUUGUUGCUUUCCAUUAUAUUGAGAAAAACAUAAGUUUCA